UACGGAGGGAGCUAGCGUUGUUCGGAAUUACUGGGCGUAAAGCGCGCGUAGGCGGCUUUGCAAGUUAGAGGUGAAAGCCCGGAGCUCAACUCCGGAACUGCCUUUAAAACUGCAUAGCUUGAAUCCGGGAGAGGUGAGUGGAAUUCCGAGUGUAGAGGUGAAAUUCGUAGAUAUUCGGAAGAACACCAGUGGCGAAGGCGGCUCACUGGACCGGUAUUGACGCUGAUGCGCGAAAGCCAGGGGAGCAAACGGG
rnacentral:rRNA from 1 species